rnacentral:rRNA from 1 species
UUUAUCAAAAACAUGGCUCUUUGACAAUAUUAUAUAAAGAGUCGGACCUGCCCAGUGAAAUAAUAUUUUAACGGCCGCAGUACCCUGACUGUGCAAAGGUAGCAUAAUAAUUUGCUCUAUAAUUGAGGGCUGGAAUGAAUGGUUUGACAAGAGUAAUACUGUCUCUUUAUAAUUUUAUAAAAUUUAAUUUUUAGAUGAAGAAGUCUAAAUAAUAUUAAAAGACAAGAAGACCCUAUCGAGCUUGAAAUAAAUUAAUAAAUUUAAAAUAAUUAAUAAAAAAUAUUAUUAUUAAAAAUUUUAGUUGGGGCAACUAAGGAACAAGUAAAACUUCCUUUAAAAUUAGAUUGAUACUAUAAAUUAUGAUCCAAAAAUUUUGAUUAAAAAAAUUAGUUACCGUAGGGAUAACAGCAUAAUUUUUUUUAAGAGUUCUUAUCGAAAAAAAAGUUUGUGACCUCGAUGUUGGACCAGAAUGUCCUAAAGAUGCAGAAGUCUUUAAGGGUUGGUCUGUUCGACCAUUAAAAUUCUACGUGAUCUGAGUUCAGACCGGCGUGAGCCAGGUCAGUUUCUAUCUUUAAUUAUUAUUUUGAAUUCAGUACGAAAGGACCAAUUUAAAAAUAUAGAAUAUUUAUCAUGAAAAAAUCUAAUGUUUUAAGUAAUGUUAAAUUAGCAAACAAUUAAUGUAAUUGAUUUAGGAUCAAUAGAUAUAGGUGAAAAUCCUUUAUUUAACAUACAAGCAACAUUAAAAUUAAUAUAAAGAUGGCAGAUGAAGUGCAUUAGGUUU